AUGUCACUCCUCCCCCCCCUCCAUAUUCAACAUACUGUGUCAGCUGAAAUACAUUGGACCCCUCCAAAGCAACAGCAAAGAUGUGGGAACAGAUCCAGUGUUCAGGAGAGCUUUUCAAUACCUGCAGUGAUCAUGAGCUCAGGCCCAAUGCAAUGGAGUAUUGGUUUGCUCACUUGGUUUUUGUUUCUCAGGAUCUCAACUUGCUUGUGUGAGAUGACAGCCUAAGAGUAUUUGCCAAAAGUUGGGAAAAUGCCAAGUUUUCAUUAAACCUCUUGUAAACCCCAAAUUGCAGUCCUGCAAGGCUACAUCUGGCAAGGAAGCCAUCUGUGAUUCGUAUAGUCUUGCUCCAACAAAACGACAACAGUGUGAAAAACUCUUUUCUCUGGUCGGCAGUGAACUGUAAAAGUAACAUUAGUAAUAGCUUCUGCAGGCUCAGUAAUGACAUAAUUGACAUUGGCUGAAAGCGCAAGCCCCAACUGCGGGGUCUUGCCAAGGCUCUGGAUUGAUUCAUAUCAUCCUUCAAAAAUACAGGUUGUAGUCAAUAGCCCUCUUGGAUGCUUCUUCUCACACUGGUGUUGAGACUGCUCUCCUUCUGAGCUGUGUCUGCAGUGAAGUCUUGCAGAGUACGAGCCUCCUGACCCCAGCCCCAGCCAAAAAAAGGGGGCUGCUCUGCUCUGCUUGACUGAAGCCAUUUGCUUGAUUCAUAAACAAGGUCUGAAUUUCCAAUUGUUUGAAAACCUGCAGUUUCACAGAGAAGUGCACAUUACACCUAGUAAUCUCUUAUAUCUGUAGCAACAUGACCCAGUGCAUUUUAUUUAAUGCAGAGCCCGGGUAAGGAGGCUGGGCUCUAAGCCAUCUGCACAUAUGCUUCUUGGAUGCCUGAUAUUUUCAUUUUCCUUCAGAUGAGCUGCACUGUGAGGGGGCUCCCAUUUAUAGCAUCCGGGAAUCUUUCCAGAAUAAGUUGUGCUUGCCUUGUCUGCAGACCUCUCCCCCCCCCCCCCCCCCCCCCCCCCCUCAGCCCCCUUCACCCCCAUGACUCAAAAAAUACAGACCCCAGCAGAUGUCCAUAGGAGGGGAAAAAAAAAAAGUGAGUCAAAAAGCACUGAUUUUUCUCAAAUCUCUUGCUAAGGAAACCAUUCCCCAGCUCCCUUUGUGUUUAAAAGCUUGAGGCCCCUGGUUUAGAGAAAUCCUAGAAAUACAGCUUAAAGACCUCAGUGGGAUUGUG
rnacentral:lncRNA from 1 species